rnacentral:rRNA from 1 species
GUUUGAUCCUGGCUCAGAACGAACGUUAGCGGCGCGCCUAACACAUGCAAGUCGAGCGAGAAGGAAGCAAUUCCUGUAAAAGCGGCGCACGGGUGAGUAACACGUAGGUAAUCUACCUCGAAGUGGUGGAUAACCUUCCGAAAGGAGGGCUAAUACAGCAUGAGACCACGGUUUCGAAAGAGAUUGAGGUCAAAGCGGGCCACUAUACAUAAGCUCGCGCUUCGAGAUGAGCCUGCGGCCCAUCAUGGUAGUUGGUAGGGUAAUGGCCUACCAAGCCGAAGACGGGUAGCUGGUCUGAGAGGAUGAUCAGCCACACUGGAACUGAGACACGGUCCAGACUCCUACGGGAGGCAGCAGUGGGGAAUCUUGCGCAAUGGGCGAAAGCCUGACGCAGCGACGCCGCGUGAGUGAUGAAGGCCUCGGUUGUAAAGGCUCUGUGGAGGGGGACGGAAGUAA